UACGUAGGGUGCAAGCGUUAAUCGGAAUUACUGGGCGUAAAGCGUGCGCAGGCGGCUUUGCAAGACAGAUGUGAAAUCCCCGGGCUCAACCUGGGAACUGCAUUUGUGACUGCAUGGCUAGAGUGCGGCAGAGGGGGAUGGAAUUCCGCGUGUAGCAGUGAAAUGCGUAGAUAUGCGGAGGAACACCAGUGGCGAAGGCGGUCCCCUGGGCCGGAACUGACGCUGAGGCGCGAAAGCGUGGGUAGCAAACGGG
rnacentral:rRNA from 1 species